ensembl:lncRNA
GGCGAAAGACCAGCGGCAGGUGGACAGAGGGAGGAAGGACAGAGAGGAGGGGUCGCCCCCACAAGGGCCAGGCCGGGAGUCUGGAGGAGCCCCCUGCCGGGAAUGCAGCUGGGGAAAGAGGUUAUUAGGUGCAGUCCUGAGAACGGGGCAGGGAUGAGAGGCAGGGAAUUUGUUACUCGAAAACUGGGCUCGACUCGGUGGACGUUGCGCCAAGAGACACAGUCAAGCCAAACAGCGGGAGAAGGAAGCAUUUAUUACUUGCAGCAAGGUCACGAUGUCUCAUCUCCUUGAUCUGAAUGUCACGAGGGAGCCUUGGGAUUGCUCAGACGUGAAAGGAAGCCUGUCAUUCUGCUGGGUUGGUCGGUGGUUUCUCCUCUCUGCUGCCUUCCUGCAAAGCGGAUCGCUGUCAAGAUUGAAAAAUGUAAACAUGUCUGACAAAGCCCCCUUUCACAGAGAGCUAUGUGCUUGCUGUUGCAGCCAAUGCUGUGAUGAGUAUCCCUGCCCCAUGUGGCCGGGCAGGGAGACGUUCCCAUGGGACCAUCCACGACGUCAACCUCCACUGCAAUCCCUCCCCUCCUGGGGUCUCCUGCAGACUCUCCUUGGAGUUCCUGGGCUGAGCAUUUGCCAGAAGCUAGAGUCAGAUGGGGACUAGGUUCAAAUACCAGUUGCUCCAUCAACAUCUCUCCCUGCGUCAGUGUUCUCAUCCCUACAAAGGAGACGAUAAUCAUGGUACCACUUCCGGAGUUGUCUUGAGUAUUACAUGCAAUAACGUGUUAUAGCCCCUGGAUCAGGGGAAGGACUCAGGAUGGCUCGCUGCCCUCUCCUUCCCCCUCUGAUAUCCCAUCUACCCUAUGGAGUCCCAAGCUUUGCAUGUGGGCCCUGGUCUAGUCGUCUGCACCCCGCAGCUUCCCCGGAUGUGGAUGUGGUGGUGCACAAUAAAUAAAUGGCCCCUGCAUGUGCCGUGAGGCGCAGUCCUCCAGCUUUGGCCUGACCCCCACUCCGCUAGGCCUGGGGGAUGGGGAGGAGUAGAGGUGCCUUUCUCUGGAUGGUCCACAGC